UACAGAGGUCCCAAGCGUUGUUCGGAUUCACUGGGCGUAAAGGGUGCGUAGGCGGUCGGGUAAGUCUGAUGUGAAAUCUCACAGCUUAACUGUGAAACUGCAUUGGAUACUAUCCGGCUCGAGGAAUGGAGGGGAGACUGGAAUACUUGGUGUAGCGGUGAAAUGCGCAGAUAUCAGGAGGAACACCGGUGGCGAAGGCGGGUCUCUGGGCCGUAACUGACGCCGAGGAGCGAAAGCGUGGGGAGCGAACAGG
rnacentral:rRNA from 1 species